rnacentral:rRNA from 1 species
CAGCAGCCGCGGGAAUACGAGGGGGGCAAGCGUUGUUCGGAAUUAUUGGGCGUAAAGGGUGCGUAGGCGGCUCCGCAAGUCUCAUGUGAAAUCUUCAGGCUCAACUUGAAGUCUGCAUGGGAAACUGCGGGGCUGGAGUAUGGGAGAGGUGAGUGGAAUUCCUGGUGUAGCGGUGAAAUGCGUAGAUAUCAGGAGGAACACCUGUGGCGAAAGCGGCUCACUGGACCAUAACCGACGCUGAGGCACGAAAGCUAGGGGAGCAAACAGGAUUAGAUACCCCCGUAGUCCCUGUCUCUUAUAC